GGUUUUGCUCAGUGGAUAGAGCGUUGGCCUGCGGAGUCAAGGGUCCCAGGUUCGAUUCUGGCCA
rnacentral:tRNA from 1 species